CCUACGGGAGGCAGCAGUGAGGAAUAUUGGUCAAUGGCCGGAAGGCUGAACCAGCCAUGCCGCGUGAAGGUCAGUGCCCUAUGGGCGUUAAACUUCUUUUGUGCGGGAGCAAUAAUGGUCACGUGUGGCCAGACGAGAGUACCGUACGAAUAAGCAUCGGCUAACUCCGUGCCAGCAGCCGCGGUAAUACGGGGGAUGCAAGCGUUAUACGGAUUAAUUGGGUUUAAAGGGUGCGUAGGCUGUGAGGUAAGUCAGCGGUGAAAUGCCCCCGCUCAACGGGGUGAAGUGCCAUUGAUACUGCCGUGCUGGAAUGCGGAUGCCGUGGGAGGAAUGUGUGGUGGAGCGGGGAAAUGCAGAGAUAUCACACAGAACACCGAUUGCGAAGGCAUCUCACGAAUCCGCGAUUGACGCUGAUGCACGAAAGCGUGGGUAUCAAACAGGAUUAGAUACCCCAGUAGUC
rnacentral:rRNA from 1 species